rnacentral:ncRNA from 1 species
UAUCGUGAGGUAAUGGCUGAAGGAAGCUGGAUGUUGGGAAAGCCAACGGGCAAAAUCUCGGGCUUACGGACAGAAAUCGAAUAGGAGGCUGCUAGCCUGGACGACCUUGCUAAACAAAGAGAAGUCCAAGUUGCCGAACAUGGCGAAACAGUAAAUUCGGAGGCUGCACGAGAGGAAAGUUA